rnacentral:lncRNA from 1 species
GUUUAAGAAGAAAGUGAAAGUCCAAGCAGUAAAAAUCGAUGCCAGAACAAAACCCAAAUAGCAAAACCCCAGAAUUUAGAACUGUUACCAAAAUCCAAAUAGCAAAACAAAUUAAUGCAAUCUUCGAAACCAUUUUCAGCGAUGCAAUAUAUGUAUGUAUGUAUGUGUGUGUCUGAGAGAGACUUUGCAUACCGAUCAACAAUAUGUUUUGAUUUCCGCCGGAUUUGGGUUUAGAUCCUUUCAUAUCCGCUCAUGGAAGGUCGGAGUUUGACACCACAGAAAGAUUUGUGACGACGAUGAAGCUUCCUAGCAGCCGGUGAUCCAAAGUGUCCAUCGAUUGCGCCGAUUGAAGGAUAUGAGACUGGGGAUUCCAGAUUUUUUUUAAGAGUGGGACUGUUGCGAAGGUUAUUUUUUUAAGAGGGGCACUGUUGUGAAGGUUAUUUUUGUAAAGGACAUUAAAGAGUAUUAAUUAUGAUGGACAGCUGUUGAAAGUUUAGGAGGACAGAUGUCUAAUUUUUAA